rnacentral:rRNA from 1 species
UACGGAGGGUGCAAGCGUUGUCCGGAUUCAUUGGGUUUAAAGGGUGCGCAGGCGGGCCAUUAAGUCAGGGGUGAAAGACGGUUGCUCAACAAUCGCAGUGCCUUUGAUACUGGUGGUCUUGGGUAACCUUGAGGUAGGCGGAAUGGGUGGUGUAGCGGUGAAAUGCAUAGAUACCACCCAGAACUCCGAUUGCGAAGGCAGCCUACUGGAGGUUCACCGACGCUCAGGCACGAAAGCGUGGGGAUCAAACAGG